UAACGCGAAGAACCUUACCAGGGCUUGACAUGCCCGGACGGUUUCCAGAGAUGGAUUCCUUCACUUCGGUGACUUGCACACAGGUGCUGCAUGGCUGUCGUCAGCUCGUGUCGUGAGAUGUUGGGUUAAGUCCCGCAACGAGCGCAACCCUCGCCUUUAGUUGCCAUCAUUUAGUUGGGCACUCUAGAGGGACUGCCGGUGAUAAGCCGGAGGAAGGUGGGGAUGACGUCAAGUCUUCAUGGCCCUUACGGGCUGGGCUACACACGUGCUACAAUGGCGGUGACAGAGGGCAGCUAGUCCGCGAGGACAUGCUAAUCCCUAAAAGCCGUCUCAGUUCGGAUUGCACUCUGCAACUCGAGUGCAUGAAGUUGGAAUCGCUAGUAAUCGUAGAUCAGCACGCUACGGUGAAUACGUUCCCGGGUCUUGUACACACCGA
rnacentral:rRNA from 1 species